AUGAAGCAAUUUUAUAGCUUGUCUUGCUCUUUCCCUCUAGGUAUUAUAAUAACUCUCAAAUAUACAGGAGGAAGAAGACAGUGUGGUUCAUUAGAUUCUAUACUUUGCAUGAAACCCAGUGCAUCACAUCAUCAGUUCCUUUGUGAGCAUUGGACAGAAAUUAUGGUCACUGGGCUUGUAAGAAUGUGUGGAUCAUCUCCAUCUUCAAUGAACCUAUGCUGUCUCUUGGAGCUUGAAUCUACCCAGCAACUCACACAGCCUCCUUUGCUUAAUGUUGGGACAUUCUGGGCAGGUGGCCAAUGCACUAACUACUUCUCAUCUUAGACAGGAUGAAUCAGACUCCUAGACCUUACUCUGAUUCACUACCCAAAGGUAGUUUUGGUAUUUUAGUGAGUUCACAUUAAAAUAUGAAUUUCAAAAUUUUCUGAAAUGACCAAAGGCUAUUUUUGCUCCCAAACUAAAAAUACAUAGUACCAGAAAACUAAGAUCAGGCUAUGUCCUGCCUUAAGUUACUCCAUAUCUUGCAAAGUAGUGAUUGUUUUGGGACUGUAUCUUGCCUUUACAUACUUCAUUUUCCAAGCAGCAUUUGACUCCAUUUGAGAAUAUAGGAUGACUCUGCACCACGGUAGACAUAUAAAAAAAUUCCAUCUUUUGAGCACCAUAUACACAGCACAUACUAACCAAUAACUUAAUCUAAAAUGACACCACCCUGUAAACUGACCAAUGUUAACUAGUCCUGUGGGGGGUAUAUGGAUUAUUAUGAUCAUGUCAGAAAAACAGGCUUCAGAACUUACUGGACUCUCCAGACUGAGGAAAGGAUGAAAGUCACUCAUUUGAACCCAGAGAGAGGAAGACACCUAUGUAACAAGGAUGGCCCCACUGACCAGUCACCUGACAUGUGUGUACAGGUUCCAACACUCAUUGAACUCCAGACUAUGCUAGGAAUUUCAUCUCAGCUUGUUCCACACUGAUAAUAUGUCCCUAUUAAACUGCCAUCUAUUUGUCUAUCCAUUCCUCAUAAAAUGGUAUUGCCCUUUGCCUCUACAUCCUUCACCACUUCUUGCCUCUACAGCUUAUCUCUGACCCUGAAGCCUGACAUUAUAUCAUCAUCAUUGUCAUUGUCAUCAUUAUCAUCAUCAUCAUCAUCAUCAUCAUCAUCAUCAUCAUCAUCAUUAUCAGAAGCAGCAGCAGCAGCAGACCUCCAGCCUAGGUUCAUUAUAUUUAUUCUCAAGGAGACUAUCUUUAAAUCACAAUUAGUUUCACAGCUUCAGCCCCUCAGGCCUCUUUGAAACUUCUUGAAGUCUGCCCCAGCCUCUAACCCUUUGCAGGCACUGUGUAACCUACAUAUAUGCAUAUAUAGAUAUAUUGACUGUGUAGUGUGUGAUCUGGGAAUCAAUAUUAGCAAUUAAGAUCGGAUAACAGAACCUGGGUUUGUCUUGGCCAGUUGUCAAAGAAAGUGGCAUGCUUUGGAAAAUUGCUGCCAAGGAAACAAUCUUGUCUUGUGAAUUUAUUGUUACACAAAACAAGUAAUCAAACAAAAAACAAAACAAAACUAGCCUUGUGUAAAAACACAAAAGUACUUGUAUGUUUUUAACAACGUACUCAAAGCAGACUACCAAGUUUUUUCUUCUUUGUCCUUAAAGGCAGCAAUAGAAUAAGAAUCAAAAGAAUCUACAUGUUGAGGAUGUCCAAUGGCAUUGGCAACAGGUUCCUCAUUUAGAGUCUUUGAGGGCAGCUGUGAUGUUGGGAGCCACUUGCUCAUCCUAAACUGUUAUAAUCUGUCUGUUGGGUAAUUCUCCCACUGUGUUAUCCUUAUUUCCCUUAUAACCAGAAGCUCCAUGGAUGAUUUUCAUGCAACAAGUAGUAUUUUGAUCUCCAACUGUAUGUUGGGUGUAGUGUUAGGGGGUGGCCACCCAAAGAUAUACAGGCCCAAACAACCAUGCCAUUAAGGGGUUGAAAAUCAAGCCAGGGAGACAACAUUACUUGUUUAAUAAAACCACGUACAUUACUUUUGUAAUAGUUCCA
rnacentral:lncRNA from 1 species